rnacentral:rRNA from 1 species
AUGAGAUGCGGCAGUGCCAGGGGACAGUUGCUUCUGCUAUUUUUGGUUCCAAAACUAUUACUUCAUCGACUCUUUCCUGAUGUGCGGUAUUCACUCUGGAUCGAUGGGAAACUUAAACUUGUGAAGGAUCCUUAUCAGUUGUUAGAGAGAUUCUUGUGGAGGAAAAAUGUGCGCUUCGCUAUUUCCAGGCAUUAUAGACUCUUUGAUGUCCUUGAGGAAGCUGAGGCCAACAAGGCUGGUGGGAAGUAUGAUAAUGCUUCAAUCGAUAACCAAAUAGAGUUCUACAAGAGAGAGGGUUUAACCCAUUAUUCAUCAGCUAAGUUCCUUAUUACAAGCGAUGUCCCCGAGGGCUGUGUAAUUAUAGGAGAGCACAUACCCAUCACCAAUCUAUUCACAUGCCUUUGGUUCAAUGAAGUUGAUCGUUCCACCUCAAGAGAUCAGCUAAGCUUUAGCGCAGCGAGGGAUAAAAUAAGAUCAAGAGUUCUUUUUGACAACUAA